GUGAAUUGAUCCAGUUAAUUCCACCAGAAAGCCGUUGGUGUUCGAGCACCGCGGCUUUCGCCUU
rnacentral:sRNA from 1 species